UGGGAGAACUUGGAAGAAUACUUAG
rnacentral:piRNA from 1 species